rnacentral:lncRNA from 1 species
GGACGGGAUGGAGCAGCCACCUUUCAAGAAGAGGCGGCUGCUGGAAGAGGCUGAUAACAUCGAGCCCAUGGAGGUGGACCCGCCUGGCAGCCAAGAAGAGCCCAUGGAGGUGGAUCCACCUGUGGCAGAUGAGCUGAUGGAAGUGGAUCCACCUCCAUUGGGGCAGACUGGCCAUCUCUCUGCUGCUGCCAGGCCAACCAGGAAGAGGUCGCGCCCCAAAUUUCAUCGCAGGGGCGCCGGGAUCCGUCCACCUCCCGUGAAACGGCCGCCUCGAUGCCGGCGCUGAUCCUCCCGUCCUCCAAGGCUCCUACGAGCCCUUCCUUCCCAUCCCUCUCCCUUGUCCCUUCCCAAGUCCUCUCAUCUCUUCUUCACCAAGUCCUGAGGAAGAGGGCAGGGCAGGGACUGCCAUCCUCAAAGUUGCUGUGCCGGGGCAGCGGGACAAGUAUGACAGAGGGACCUCAAACAUCACAGGGGUGCGAGGAUCCUAACAAGGCUCCCAUGAGCCCCCUCCCUCAUCUCUGCCCAGGGCCAGAGGAGAAGCCUAAGAAGGGACAGAGAUAG